ACGGCGCAUGCUCCGCAGCGCGGCGGGUCCACAGAUGAGGGGAGUCGAGACUCCCGCGCCCCACCACCCCCGGCGGAGCUGCUGCUGAGCCACUCAAUCUGAGCCCUGGCUACUAAUAAAAUUUGAGAGGGAAGAUCUGAUCUCCUAGAAUUAGAGUUGGUACAGAAACCAUUUCAGCUCCAAAAAUGUUGGAGGAAGAUAUGGAAGUCGCCAUAAAGAUGGUGGUUGUAGGGAAUGGAGCAGUUGGAAAAUCAAGUAUGAUUCAGCGAUAUUGCAAAGGCAUUUUUACAAAAGACUACAAGAAAACCAUUGGAGUUGAUUUUUUGGAGCGACAAAUUCAUUUUUAAGUAUUUGGCUGAAAAAUACCUUCAGAAACUCAAACAACAAAUAGCUGAGGAUCCAGAACUAACGCAUUCAAGUAGUAACAAGAUUGGUGUCUUUAAUACAUCUGGUGGAAGUCACUCCGGUCAGAAUUCAGGUACCCUCAAUGGUGGAGAUGUCAUCAAUCUUAGACCCAACAAACAAAGGACCAAGAAAAACAGAAAUCCUUUUAGCAGCUGUAGCAUACCCUAAGAUGUUUUGGGAGGAAAACAAUUGAAUUACAUUGUGCAAUGCAUUAAGAAACCCAUCCAGCUGUCAUGGUAUGUUACAAGGUUUUCAGCAGACUUUGCUCCUAAUGGCUCUCUGAAAGUGACAGACUUAAAUAUUGCUCUGCAGUGCUUUUCAGAAUGUAGAGUGAGACCUCUGGUGGAAAAAUUAUUGCCCUGUGGACUCCUUUAAUUUUUUUUACAUUAGACGAAGCUUCUCCUGUUUGUAAAGGAAUGCUAUAAGAAAUUUCAAACACAGGUUUUGCGGAAUUUUAAAUGCUGGAAAACAUAAAUGAAAUGCCUAAAUAUAUUGUUACAGAUUUUAAUACUGUGGAUCAAGGAAAGAUAGCAAGCAUUCUUUUCCUGAAAUUGGUCAUGUAGCUUUUCUGCGAAAUAGUAUUGAAUCUGAAUACUUUCACAAAAUAAUACUGAAAGGUAAACCCUAAAUCUUGCCAGACUGCAUUAGUAUUUUGGCAUUGAAACUUGUGCAAUAUCUGUGUAAUGUAGAAUGUGGGGUGUGCAUGCAGAUGUCUGGUACUGGAGUAAGCUGAAGGUAUGUGCAGUAUUUAAGAAAAUGUACAUUCUAAUUAAUUCACUUAUAAAACCAUUUACAUAUUGUGUAUAUGUUUUUAUUUUCAAAUGAUAAACUCUAGACAUAUAUUUUGCAAAAUGAGCUUGGGUUUAAAAAGUGCUUUGUGCCAAAAAUAUCAUACCUAAUUUUUAUAGUGCUUUACUAUCAGAAUUUAUAUUGUUUAUUAUAUCUUUUAAAAGCAGUAAGCAGUUUUCAUCUGACAGCGUAGAUAAAAGAGGAGUAUAGGAAUUUGAAUGCUAGAGCAUCUCCCAGGUGAGCCUUAUUGCAGAUCUUUUUGAUAUAGUCACCCAUAAGCAUGGUGAGCUCCUGCUCUCAUAAGGUCAGCCAAAGCCCCUUAAGAAGGUACACAGCACAUCUGCAGUCAUUCAGGAGGUCCUGUGAAGUGUGGUGAUGCAUCUAACACCUUUUGCUGCUCACUGAGAACCCAGCUUUGAACUUACAAGAUUACACUAACCAUUUUUAAAGUGCACAAAAAUAUUAUUAUUAGUCUUAACUAAAAUUACAUAUUUUAUAAUGCCCUGCAACUCUAAACCAUCCUUUUGUUUACACAUUUUUGUAUGGUAUUUUAAGAUUAUCAAUCACUUCAACAUUUCUAUAACCUUGUUUGUAUAGCACUUUCUCAAGAGCUGUCAGUCCCACAUACAGAAUCAUUUCUUUUACAAAAUGAUUUAAUAUGUAAUCAUGUGUCAGGACAUAAAUUUUGUCACUUGGGACAGUAGCUUUCCAGCUAAGAUAAUUGCGUGAACUCUGUUAAAACUGAUUAUCACUCAUCAAUGGCUUUAUUUUUAACCUAUAAAUAACCCCUUUCAAUAUACCUGGUUUUUACAGCAUUGCAAAAUCUGUAAAAAUAACUUUUAUUGGAAAAUGUCAUGAAGUCAUUUUUCAUUAUUUGUACUAAACAAUGUUUUAUGUACUCCUUUUGUGUUUUAUCUUUUGUUUUUCCAUCUGUACUCCCCUCAUCCUCCUAAUGUUGAGAAAAUCAAAUUUCCUGGGUGUGUCCUUGUUAAGUGAUCAAAAGUAAAUGUUCUCUUUGCCAUUUUAGAUGGAAAAAUAAAAAAAAUUAAAAAGUAAAUUUUUGCUUUUCAUUAUAUUGAAAUGAUCUGGCAUUAUCUAUUUCACAGUAAUGUAAAAUGCUUAUUUUUAUGUCACCAGUUGUCACCACUCCCAUUGCUGAUAGUGACAUAGGUUUUGGGGGCAAAAUUCAGUUCCUAACAAACAGUGGAUACUGCUAAUGAGUCAUCUUUUCUACUCUCUUCAAUUUUCUACUCUCUACUCUCCUCUUUAAUUUUUGCACAAAAUAAUACUUUGCAACAAAUAGUCUUUUGUCUUUAUUGGCAGAAAAAUCACUUGUUAUAUGUGUUCUAGUUAGUUCUUUUUCAUGUUAGCUGUGUGGCUAAAAGCGUGUUACCUUUCUAUAUUUAAAAAAAGUAAUCUCUGAGGAUAGUUACAGUUCCUGUAAUAUAAUUUUAUGUACCUAGUUUUAUCUUUUUUUAAAUAAGAACUGAAGAGAGAGCUUUGUUACAUAUUUGAAUUUUUAAUUUGCACUGCUGUAUUUUAAACCUAACCAUAAUUAGUCAUUUAAAAUAAUUAAGUAGGCCUGAAAGUCAGCCAUGUUAAUUUCUCAAUUUAAUCAAUUCUUAAAGCCUUCAAAAAUUGACAUUUUUUUUCCAAGACCCUUCAUUCUCUUAAAUAACUUUAAUUUUAUGAAACCAUGUAUACUAAAGAAAAACUUUUCCAAGAUUCCAGGUGAUUGUGCAUUUGUGCUCUAAUCUACUUUUUUAACAUUACGGCUAAUCUUUUGCGUAGACAUAUCGCUGUGGAAUAACUGCCAUAUUUCAGAGUUCCUCAGGUUUCCUUUUCCUUUUCCAGUCUCUGUCUAUGAAUUAAAUAGUAUAUAGAAUGACCCAUAUAAGGCAAUAUAGUUAAAUAAAACCAGGUUAAAUGAUUUCCUUUGUAUCUGCCCAAAGUUGAUAGCACACGUUACUUUUUCAAAAUAAAGCUAAAACUACCAAAAAGAGGAUGAAAACUUUUUCCUCAUUAUGGAGUGAAGUUCUAGGUGGUUGCUUUAGAAGUUGGCAGUGCAGUGCUCAGAAGGAACUCUCAAUAAAUAACAUGUACUCCUUGGACCUGUGAGUUUUAGGAAACUGGACCUUUUCUGAAGACCUUAGAAUAGGGAGUUGGCCUUAGGACCUAAUGUCCCAACUUAGUGUUGGACCCUUUUAAUAUAAGAUAUUGUUAAUUAUUAGCAUACUUUUCAAAACCUUUGAAAUAGUUACUGCUAACCUGAUAAAAUGUUCCCAUUAAUCUAUCAUUAGUCUGUUUCUCUGAAAACAAAAUGCAUUGAUGAGGUGAAAGCUUGUUCCACAUGGCACCUACCUAAUGAACAGGACUUACUCAGUUUUUAACUGUUAAGAAUGUCACAUGUACUAUUGUCACUCCUUAGGUUUUCAGCUAUAAAACAUGUAAGUCUCUCAUCAUACAGAUGAAUUCAUUUGCUAACAAAAUAUUUAAAACCCGCAGUAGACUCUGAAAUAUCCAGUCAUCAAACUCCUGGCUAACUGGAUGAUUUGGCUAUAAUAAUCUUUAUUAUUAUUAUUUUCAUCUGUCUCUCGAAAUAUCUACAGUAGGAUGUUAGUAAAUGGUCUUUUAAAAGCAAAAAAUUGGGGAUAAAAGGAAAACUGAAUUCCUUCUAUAUUUUUAUUACUAAUAAAUAAUGCUUUUGUAAAUUUGAAUGGAAAACCACUUGUAUGUAUUGCUAUUUGGUUGCAGUUACACUCUGGAGCUUAAUUUAAAACACUACUCUAAAAAUUUCAUGAAGGAUGAAUUCCAAUAAUCAGAAAAUAAAUGCAUUUCAAAGCUAAA
rnacentral:lncRNA from 1 species